CCUACGGGGGGCUGCAGUGGGGAAUUUUCCGCAAUGGGCGAAAGCCUGACGGAGCAAUACCGCGUGAGGGAGGAAGGCUCUUGGGUUGUAAACCUCUUUUCUCAAGGAAGAACACAAUGACGGUACUUGAGGAAUCAGCAUCGGCUAACUCCGUGCCAGCAGCCGCGGUAAUACGGAGGAUGCAAGCGUUAUCCGGAAUGAUUGGGCGUAAAGCGUCCGCAGGUGGCGAUGUAAGUCUGCUGUUAAAGAGUGAGGCUCAACCUCAUAAGAGCAGU
rnacentral:rRNA from 1 species